CUUGGUUCACAUCUAAGCAGGGACAGAUUAAUGGCUGUUCGAUCAGCCGUCCUUCAAACCCAGCUUCCUGGGACUGGCCUUCAGACUGGCUUUACCUCGUGCCAACCUGUCCACUUCUCAUGGUGUUCCCCUACCUCGUCUCAAUCUCCUUGGCUGGCUUCUAAGCCUUUUUGACCAUGUUGUACCCUGGAGAUACGGAAACCAGCUAAGCCGGGCAGUGUCCUCGUGGGCAUGUCUUAUACUCUGGAACAAUAUCAAGUCCCCACUCAACCAUCCUUUUCACGGCAGUGUGUCCCCUAGGCACUGUUUUCUUCUCUUUUCCUGCUUUUCACCACUCGGCCCUGAGGUUCACCCCCUGUCCCUGCAUGUCCCUGGUGGAUCCCAAGAGGUCACUCAGCGCUGCCCUGAGCGGGAUGGGGCAGUGUCCUUGCAGUAGGGCAUCUCACAGCCCCUCAAAGCAGCUCGAUGCUUGGACUCACUCUCCGCCUAGCACUUUCUUAAAACACACUUGGAGAUCCCCAGAAAACACUACCCCAGGAACACUUGUCAUCCUAUUUUCCAAAUGAUCAUUGCUGGUGCAUAUGAUUUAAGGAGAUGGCUUUAAAUGAGCUUUGCCAAGUCAAGAUUUAUUGAUACACGUGUGCCAUGUUUUUUGAAUCAUACGUGUCUGUGUGUGUGGAUAUACAUUUCUGUGGAAUGAUCCUGAUCAUAAAUUAAAAUGCAGACAUUAAAAUUGAAGAAAGUGCUGCAGAAACACCCCAAAUCAUAGAGCACACUCAGUCAGCUGAUGCUCAAAUGCCAGACACGCUGGAGGAAUUUAUCCAGUGACACAUGCAAUUGAAGUAAAAUAUUGUGCUUUACAAGAACGUAUCAUUAAAAUGAAAACUAGCAGCAUAUCAGGAGUCUGGCUUUGUAACCAAGACAACAUAGAUGGGAAAGGAUGAAAGACAUGAUGUACCAGAGGAAGAGGAAGGAGGCAGAAGGCAAGAGGAGGUGGUGGGCCCCCAGCUGUGAAUGGCCCCCUUCCUGCUGGGUUCGUAGCUGAUAGACUCUAGAUGGGAAGAGAAUAGAAUCUCGAUGGAGAUGCUGGCAAAAGCUCUCACCAAGAACAGGACCAGGGAUGGGAAAGGCAGUGGGAGCCAGACUGACUCAGAGCCCCCCAGCGGAAGCUCUGCUUGAGGGUCUGCUUAUAGUUCCCCCUGUUCCCAAGUGACUUCCUGUGAAUGUGGCCACUGGGCUUGCUUCCUGGUGGUGGCACAGUGCUUCUCCCAGCAGCUCUGGUUUCUCAUAGAGGCAUUGGCCACGGCUUCUCCAAGAGCUCCCUCAAGUCUCCCCCCUUCAUCACGCUCCCAGGGGAUGCAGAUGUAUCGGUUCUGGGCUGCUGUGCAACAAUGACCCCAAAACCUAGAGGCUUGAAACAACAUUUGUCUCACAGUGUCUGUGGAGCAGGAAUGCAGGCCCAGCUUAGCUGGACCCUCUCGCUCAGAGUUGCUCACAGACUGUAGUCAGGGUGUUGGCUGGGGGCAGCCGUCCUCUCCAUGCUCAAGGCCAGAAUGGGGGAGGAUCCUCUUCCAAGGUCAUGCCCGUGGUAGGUGCAAGGCCUCAGGUCCUCCCUGGAGACAUUAGUCCCUGGCCACGUGACCUCUCCAUGACAGCCUCUCGUACAAUACGGCAGCUGAGAGAGAGGGCCAACAAGAGACAGCGAGCCGGUCCUUUCAGAACCUCAUUUCAGGAGGGUCACUGAGAUCCUUUUAGAAGCUGCCUGCCACAUGAGCGCUUAGAAGCUGGCCACUGAGGGCGUAGGAACCAAUACUUUUAAAGUCCAAGUUAACUUUUAGUGGUACAGGAAGGGGCACAACAGCCCUGCUCAGGAGCCCCCUGUCUUCUGGCGCCCUGAGAUUCUGAUUGGCAUAUCAGACAAUCCGGAGGAGGAAUAGGAAGGGGCUAAGUGCCUGUCCCACCUGCAGGGUCAGAGGGUGCUGCCGCCCCCAGCGGGAGGUCUGGGAGCACGUGGAGGUGGUCCCAGGGACGCUGCUCGUCUUGGGGAAACAGCGGUGGUUUAUGAUGGGGGAUGAGCGAGACUUCUGUUUCAGGUCGGUACCUGAUGAGCGCUCUGUCCACGGAGGGGGUCUGCCCCCUGCCCCCCCGGAGACUGGCCUCUUUUGGGGAUCGACGGGCUUUUAGGAAGGGGUCAUUUCCCUGUGGAUUAGAGCUGGCAGGAGAGAGGUUGGGAAGGGAACCGCUGUGUUCGGUACACCUCGUAGGUGCCAGGCACUCUUCUGGGUGUUUCCCUUGUGUUACGUGCAUUGAUCAUCUCAUGUCAUUCUCCAGGUUUCCAUUCAGGGUCAAGGCUACGACCUCCAUUUCACACAGGUGAAGUGACUCGUGACUCACCUGCGGGGCGUACAAUUUGAUCUAAGGUCUGUCUUCCCUGAUGUGGCCUUAUCAUGGACUUGACCUGUGGCUCUGCUCUUGGGCUGUGGUGAACCUUACUCCACAACUCUGAGAGCUGGGCCUCCCCCACACUGGGCCAGCACACCUGUUGGCCAGAACCUUCCUUUCCUUCCCUCUGGCCCUGUGCUAGCUCAGAGGCCCAGGGGUCCAGUGUGGCUGCUGUAACUGAAGUCCCCAUGGCAGAGUGCUCCCUUCUUUAAUUGUACCAGACUCAUCUAUCUGAAACAGCUCCAAUCCUCUCACUUUCCUAGUUUAAAUAUAUAUAUGUAUCUGUCUUCUCAUCCAUGCUUCUGUGGCCCCCACUGCCCGUAGGCUGCCUGUGUGUCAUGGCCCAGCCACCCCAAGGACACGGGUCCUCCAGCUCAGCCCUUCAGCCCUGGCACGCUGCCCGGCGCCUCACAUUUUGAGUCUCAAGGAUUCCGGCUAAAUUUAAAUGCCAAGGAAGAGGCACCCGCCUGGGAGACAGUGGGGUUCCCACCUACACAGCAGCUCCCGCAUCACCAGGCUCCCUCCACAGCCCACUUCCGUUUCCAGGAGCAGUUUUGCUGGAGCCCGUCCUGUGGCAGAGUGGGCGGUGGCCCUGGGGAGGCGCCAACAGGCUGUGCUUUUCUACUCACCACUGACCUGCCACCCAGGACCCACUCAGGAUGUUUGGCCUUUGGCGUCACAGCAGAAUCCUCUCUGCAAACAACCUGUGGGACUGUGCAUAGUGGUGCCUGAUGACUUUUCCUGCUGCCGGUCAGGUCAGCUCUUGCUCUUUCCUGCCUGUCCUUGAGCAGCAUUGUGCUCUUAAGGCAGGAAGAUCUGCUCAUGAUGUUAUCUUGACCAAUCGUCCAGGCUGACAUGCCGCAGUAAGUCCCAAAGCAGCUCUGGCUCCACGAUUUCUUUAUAGAUGUCGUGGCUUGAGGGACAGUGUGAUCAGAUGGUUUCCUUUGUUGACCUGCCUUGCCCUGUUGGUGCUCAUAUGAGUCUCAUUAGGAAAAGUGGGCCAACGAAUGGAUCUAUGACUGGAUCGAUGGGUAUUGGCUCAGCAGUCUUCCCACCCCACCAAAGGCUCUCCCUUCCUUGGGGUCACUCUCUGGCAUCCCCAGUGCCUCCUCUUGCUCCAGGUUUUUUGCUGAGACCUCCUCUGAGUCCCCUUCCAGAAGGUUCCUCCCCCCCUUCCUGAAGCCUUGGGAGCAAGAGGGUGGAAGGGAAAGUGCACAGGAAGAGACUCCCCAUUCCCGCUCUUGCCAGGGAGGUAGAUUGCCUUUCUGCUCAACCACUGACAACUCCCACCAAACUGAGAGUCUGCUGGGGGGUGGGGGAGAGGAAUUUGAGUGUGGCCUGGGAUGAUUGGACCUGAGGGGCCAGAAUGAUGCCAAGGCCACCUUAGGACUCACUCUUUUCACUGCAUCCACAAGUUACAGCAAACCCUGCUGCUUUCCAGGUCUUCCCAGUGGGAAUCUCAGAUGCCAAGGGUUGUUUCAGGCAAGAUUAUACCGGUGUAUUAGAUCACCUGAGUAUCUUCCAUGCUUUGUGGUUUCCGAUAACAGGGAAGAUGGGCAGAUACUGCUCAUUCUUAAAGAUCUCUAAGUGGAUAAAUUCUUUACCUGAUCUUUCUGCUGACUUACCAGCUAUCCCCACCCCCUGCCAGUGAUCAUUCCAAUCCUUCCCUUUUGUCCUACCUUCCCUUAAGAGCAUAGCAUUUAUCUGGGCUUUUCUAUAAGAAACAGGAUCCCUUUAUAGCUAUUUCUCACUAUGGGUGUACAGGCUUUUUGAGAAAUUGUAUGCACUUCUCACCAUAUUUUAAAUGCUCUGGAUGAGCAUACAUAGAAUGUCUUACUUAAUGUUUAUGAUUAAAGCUCUUCUGGGCCUUCCCCCAGACAUAGCAGGCAGGGGAGGAGAAAUACGUACUAAAUCUCACUCUUGGGGGAUCCAUUUUUCUUAGAUCUCAUGAGGUUUAAUCAGGAAGGAUCAGCUUUGAACCUUUGUGGAUCUGAACUUGCACACUGUUGGCCUUAAGGAACACUGGGCAGCUGGGAUGUGAGACUCCUCCAUGAGCUGGGCAGGGUCAAGGUCACCUUGAUGCUAGUGGACUGACUGCCUCAUUGCCUCAACUAGGCUGUGGGCUUCUUCACCUGAUGGAAAGGUCAUGGGCUGAAGAGAUAAGAGUUCAUCAAAGGAACCAGGGAAUCCUCUUUUAAACUGAAGAAUCCUUUUCUAAAAUUAAUAGCCUCAGAGUGUAUCUAUUUUACCACCUUGAGUUUUUAUUCCAUCACAUUUUGAUUACCCAGAAAUCGUAGGCAAUAGAAGCUUUCAAAAUCAGUUGCUGAGAAUUUUUCCUGAGAGGACUGUGUUCAUUUUCUUUACAUAAAAAAAUAGUUUAUUAAUACAUCUGGAUCUUUUCCCCUGCAUGUCUAGACAUUCCCCGGUUAAAUGUGAGUGCCCAGCACAGUGCUUUCCUGAAAGUAACACAUGCUAAGUAAAAAAUGUAUUUAAAGAUUGAUUGUUGGGGCUUUGGGUCUUAUAGUAUGUGUGUGUGUGUGUGUGUGUGUGUGUGUGUGAGAGAGAGAAUGUAUCAGCUACCUUAGGCUAAGUUAUGUUGCAGUAACAAAUAACCCCCAAUUUAAGUGGCUACAACAGUAGCAUGAGUUCAUUUUCAGCUCAUGUGAAUGUGUACCCUGGUUGGGCAGCAGCUACACUCCAUGUCAUUUGUUUGGGACAGAGGCUGAAGACAUGCCAGCUCCUGGCAGAAAGAAAUGAGAAAUGGCUGUUAACACCACUGCUUGGAAGUGGCACAUGCUAUUGCUCUUCACAGUUUAUUGGCUAAGCCAAAGGGAAUAAUGUGGGAAAUAUAACCUGGCCGCAGGAAGAGGCCUGGUGUGUAUAUGUGUAGGGGGUGGGAGCGAGGGGCAGAGAGUAUUUUGUCAAUAAUACAGCUUACACUAAAGAUUAUUAUUUUUAAAAAAUUCUAUUGAAGUAUUUUUGAUUUACAAUAUUGUGUUAAUUUCUGCAGUAUAACAAAGUGAUUCAGUUAUACAUAUUUCCAUUUCCAUAUAGAUUAUCACAGAAUAUUGAGUAGACUUCAAUCUACUCUAAGGAAUAUUAUCGUGAACACACUGAGUCAAGACAUUUCUAAUUAGGGAAUUCGCAUCAUGGCUCAAUGGUUAACAAACCCAACUAGCAUCCAUGAGGACACAGGUUUGAUCCUUGGCCUUGCUCAGUGGGUUAAGGAUCUGGCAUUGCUGUGAGCUGUGGUAUAGGUCCCAGAUGCGGCUCAGAUCCUGCUUUGCUUUGGCUGUGGCAUCGGCAGGUGGCUACAGCUCCAAUUGGACCCCUAUCCUGGGAACCUCCAUAUGAGGUGGGUG
rnacentral:lncRNA from 1 species